UUUUCAUUUCAAAUCGAUUCACACACAUAGCAGACGCUAACACAUCAAGCGUCAUCAAUAGCGUGGUCUGUGGAUGCUAUCGCUGGAGUAAGGCGUUUACCUUCAAUUCGGGUAGCGUCAUGAUUGGCCUACCCUGAUGGCGUCAUGAUCGCUGCUGAUUGCCUUUCAAAUAGGUUUUCAGCAUUCUGCUUACACCUUUGGCAUAGAGUCACAUAUUUCACAAUCCAACAUCAAUUGGUACCAACAGCAGCCCUUCUCUCCAUCAUCCAGAAGGGUCUGAGAUCAGUGUUGGAGAUGAUGGUUCGGAACAACCCAUGGAAAGCUUAUCACUCAUUGAUGCUGUGAUGCCUGAUGUUGUUGCAAGUCGUCAACAGCAAACACAGAACAAACAGAAACCACAAGUGGUAAAGACAGAACCACCAAAUUCCAAUGGAGAUGAACCCAUGCAUUCCAAUCGCUGGGAAGAGGAAACAGGAGUAGAGAUACCUGCCAGCAAAUCAACUGUACUUCGUGGCCAUGAAUCUGAAGUUUUCAUCUGCGCCUGAACCCAACAACUGAUUUAUUGGCUUCUGGCUCUCGGAUUGUGACUCUUCUGACGGUACCGGAAGUAAUUACGGAAGUGUAUUUGCUGAGAUAACUGAAGAGAAGUUUUAAAGAAAGACGGAAACAAUUGACAAGGCAAAAGAUUGGGAACCUGAAUGCUAUUUUGGUUUAAAGGAUGGUCAGUGACUACAGUUGGGAAUGAGGUUUUCAGUUCUAUUACUAUUACCUCCAGUAGUUCCACGUUAUUACCUCAUUAUCCUGGUACCGUGUCCACAAAGCAAAAAGGAUGGAGUUCUUCAACUGUGUCUCCUUCUUCCUAUGGGCAUUGAUUUUCUCGUGUGAGAGAAGCUUCUGUGAU